rnacentral:lncRNA from 1 species
AGCUGGACAGAGGUGGCAAGUGGUGUCCCUCAGGGGUCUGUUCUGGGACCCCUUCUAUUUAACAUGUUUAUAAAUGAUCUUGAAGACCGCAUUGAAAGUCAUGUUUCAGUGUUUGCAGAUGACACCAAACUUUGUAAAACAAUACAAUGUGAGCAAGAUAUUACUUUGCUGCAGAGGGAUUUAGAUAGACUGGGGGACUGGGCACUCAAAUGGCAGAUGAAAUUUAAUGUUGAAAAAUGCAAAGUUAUGCACUUCGGCGUAAAGAAUACACAAGCAACGUAUACCCUUAAUGGAAGCGAAUUAGGGAUAACAACACAUGAAAAGGACUUGGGAAUUGUUAUAG